rnacentral:rRNA from 1 species
GUGAGGAAUUUUCCGCAAUGGGCGAAAGCCUGACGGGGCAAUGCCGCGUGAAGGAUGAAGGCCUAUGGGUUGUAAACUUCUUUUCUCAGAAAAGAAUUAUGACGGUAUCUGAGGAAUAAGCAUCGGCUAACUCUGUGCCAGCAGCCGCGGUAAGACAGAGGAUGCAAGCGUUAUCCGGAAUGAUUGGGCGUAAAGCGUCUGUAGGUUGUUUAAAAAGUAUUCUGUCAAAGAUUAGGGCUUAACCCUAGAUAGGCAGAAUAAACUUUUAAGCUAGAGUUUGGUAGAGGCAGAGGGAAUUCCCGGUGGAGCGGUGAAAUGCGUAGAUAUCGGGAGGAACACCAAAGGCGAAGGCACUCUGCUGGGCCAAUACUAACACUGAGAGACGAAAGCGAGGGGAGCAAAUGGGAUUAGAUACCCGAGUAGUCC